rnacentral:lncRNA from 1 species
UUUUUCUCGAAAUAAGCAAAUUGAUUUCAUGCGAUAAAACAGAUUAAAGUUAGACUAAAGUCAUUCAUUUUUUCUCGUAAUAUUACUCAAACAAAAAUAUCACUCAAACCAAACAUAUGAAAAAUACUGAAAUGAGUUAAUGGGUGGGAUUGUCCUGUCAGCCAAGCUGCAACAUCUGCUUGGCUGAGGGAGGGAGGGAUGGAGGGACAAUCUCACCUAAAACAGUCCAAAAAAAUUUCAAACAAAUGUAAAAAUGGUUUAAAAUAAAUAUUAUAUUGUUCUGGGCGGCAAAGUUAAAAUGAUCCACACAUAGCAAACUAAAGGAAGUUGAGCUUUUAAUAUGAUCCCUUUUAAUAUCAGCCUUGAUAUCACAUAAAAUAGAAUUUUACACGUCCCAGAUUCUUACAGGGCUUCAGGAAACGCAGGUAAGUACCUUGUAACUCGUGGAAUUGUAAGGAUUUGUUAUCGCUCCUGCAGCACUUCUACUUCACUGUACUUAAAACAUUAUUUUGUCUUUGAGUUUGUCGUUAUGAGUGGCUCCCAGCUGUCCGGAGGGAGGCCCUGGAGCUCAAAAAUAUCACCAGUGGACCAGGCACCCCCCCCCCACAAACCGUGUGCCACGCAAAAAGCCGGACAGACAACAAGCCUGACAGACAGAGAGGCUAUGGGAGGGGUUGAAGAUGGACCUGGAAUGGAUGGGCCUAGUGACACUGGCGAGGCCGAGUGCAGAAGCGACAUUCAAUCAUUUUGAGAUGGACCCGAGCAUUUUGUAAGUACAAUUUAUAAAUUGAAUUGCAUGCACACCAUAAACAGUUGAUGGAACUUAUAAUGUGAAAACCAUGUAUGUGACUAAUGCUGCUGCUCUUUUCUCACUUGGCCUGUGUCGGGUUGAGGGUCUGCAUGGAGAGUUCAACUGAAGUGAAUCAGUAGCAGCUCUACUCUGCGACUCAUAUCUGUAAGUAGAGUUUAUUCUUAACGUUUGGACUCGUGUCUUCUGUUGGUGAUUAAAUGCACAGUUGGUUCAUGUUGUUUUAUCGUAACAUUUUCCUUUUUAUCUUUACAGCAGUCUACUUUGAAAGAGUCUACUUCUUCUGCAAAUGGAGAGUUCAACACAACAAAGACACGACUGUUGCUGUCAGUCAUCCAGCUGGAGACAGGACUCACUUCCAAAGCAAAGAAAGGAUUUUCUGCAGAACUCCCGAUGCAAACCCCAAAGACAGCUAACCCCUUCUUCAGGACCAAGAACAGGUUAACUCCAGGCAGUCACUGCCCUUUGUCACCUGGCUACUCACUGGCGAGUCACUCAUGAACCAGAGACUCCCAAAACCCUCCCACUAACCACAUACACACACACACACGUGUCGCAUGCUCAGCCGUCCUGGUAGGGGAUCUCUCUUUGACUUGGCCUACCUAAAGGUUUCUCCUUUUUCCCCUAAUAAGGGUUUUAAAGAGUUUUUCCUUUAAUGCUUGGAGAGUCUAAGGCUGAUGAUGCAAGACACACAAAUGUGUGAUAGUCUGAUGGGACCCAAAGUUGAGCUUUGUUUUCAUGUUAGUUUUAUGCUUUGAUAUUUUCAUGUAAUAAAAUGUAAAUGAAGUGACUAAAAAAAUGUAUCAUGUCUGAUUAACCAAGAGGUACGUGGGCAUUACAAAUGGUUUGACUCAAAGGUUUACAUGGUGGAGCAUGUCGUAGCAACUCAAGUAAUCAACUGAGUGU